UUCAGACCCAGUGUCACAGCAGGGUGGCUCUUGUCCAAAGUCCAGGAUUUUAGGGUAAACCAUUUGUGGAGAGAUGCAGAGAAAGAAGAGUAACAAGGGAAGAGAAAGACAGGAAAAAGGAGGGUACCAGGCAGUCACAGGGCACCUCACUUGCAGGCACCCGUCUGUCUUUAGAAAUCUCGUGGACGGAGACCUCGCCUGCUGCCUCUGCGAGGUCACUCAGAGACCUGCUUAGCCGGGGCAUCUGGCCAGGCUGCCCCCCCAGCCCCUGCUGGCCUU